AUGGCUUCAAGAAAGGAUAUUCCCGUCCUUAUUGCUUGCCAAGGUCCCAGUGGCCGCGUCACACGAGCUCAAGUUGCUAAUAGUAGUAGAAGAUGUGGAGUGGCUCACCCCGCACUGGUACCCGUGAGAACUGAACAAAAACCGACAGCGAAAGGGAAGACAAAACGGGGAGCUUUGGAUGAGAAUACUUGUGUAAGUGCUGUAGCUUCAGCUCCACACCCUAAAAGGAGAGCAGUGCUCAAGGACGUGACAAACAUAAGCUGUGCAAACUCAUACAGAAAUUGCACUGCUGUGACUAAGCUACAGUUGAGGCCCACCCAAAAGGUAGGACGAAAUCCAAGCAAAAACAAGCAGCGCUCAAAGAAGGUCCCUAAGCCACCUCUUCCUGCUGUUAGUGGAACUUCAUUUGUGAAUGAUUGUCACAACGUUGAAGAAGCUCAGAAGGAAGAGCUUUCACCACCAAAGGAGGAGCCCACUGCUUUGCUUGAAAACAAAGGGUCGUUGUUGCAGAAUACUGAAUGGAACAGGGAGAGUGGUUUUCAUGAGGCAUUCUUUCACGGAAGGACCACAGGAGAUAAAUUUGAAACUGCUAACUCAAACACUGGGGACUAUGCUGGUUUAAACAUUAUAGAUAUUGACAAAGAUAAUGGCAAUCCGCAAAUGUGUAUUUCCUAUGCUGCAGAGAUAUACACAAACCUAAUGGCUGCAGAGCUUAUAAGAAGGCCUAAAUCAAAUUACAUGGAGACUUUGCAAAGGGAUAUUACAAAAGGCAUGCGAGGAAUCCUCAUUGAUUGGCUUGUUGAGGUUGCUGAAGAGUAUAAACUUGUGCCAGACACGCUGUACCUAACUGUAUACCUUAUCGAUCAAUUUCUUUCUUGGAAAUAUAUUGAAAGACAGAAAUUGCAACUUCUUGGAAUAACUAGCAUGUUGAUUGCCUCAAAAUAUGAAGAGAUCUGUGCACCACGUGUUGAAGAAUUUUGUUUCAUAACUGAUAAUACAUAUACAAAAGACCAGGUGCUGAAAAUGGAGUGCCAAGUGCUUAAUGGUCUGGGAUAUAAUCUUUCUGUUCCCACAAUCAAAACAUUUCUCAGGAGAUUUCUUAGAGCAGCGCAGGCUUCUCACAAAGCUCCUUCUGUAACUCUGGGUUAUCUGGCCAAUUAUCUUGCGGAGUUGACUUUGACCAAUUACAAUUUCCUGAGGUUUCUCCCUUCAGUGGUGGCAGCCUCGGUAGUCUUUCUUGCCAGAUGGACACUUGACCAAUCAGAUCUCCCAUGGAACUGUACUCUGGAGCAUUACACCUCAUACAAAAGUUCUGAUAUUCAAAUAUGUGUAUGCGCUCUAUGGGAACUUCAGGGCAACACCAACCGAUGCCCCCUUAAUGCCAUACGUGAAAAGUAUCCGCACAAAAAGUUUUAUUUCUCGUUGCAGUUUGAAUGUGUAGCCAACAUGUUGUCGCCGGAGCUGGCUCAGUCGCUCUUUAGUAGACAAGCUAACGACACCAAUCCCCUGCUGAUCAAUGACUCUUAG
rnacentral:rRNA from 1 species